UACAGAGGGUGCAAGCGUUAAUCGGAAUUACUGGGCGUAAAGCGUGCGUAGUCGGUUAUCUAAGUCGGGUGUGAAAUCCCCGGGCUCAACCUGGGAAUUGCAUUCGAUACUGGAUAGCUAGAGUUCGGCAGAGGGAAGCGGAAUUUCCGGUGUAGCGGUGAAAUGCGUAGAUAUCGGAAGGAACAUCAGUGGCGAAAGCGGCUUCCUGGACCAGUACCGACGUUCAGGCACGAAAGCGUGGGGAGCAAACAGGA
rnacentral:rRNA from 1 species